rnacentral:rRNA from 1 species
CUCUGNUCUGGCGUACUCCGCCAGGCGGGGAACUUAAUGCGUUAUCUGCGGCACCGACGACGUGGAAUGUCGCCAACACCUAGUUCCCAACGUUUACGGCGUGGACUACCAGGGUAUCUAAUCCUGUUCGCUCCCCACGCUUUCGCUCCUCAGCGUCAGUAAUGGCCCAGAGAUCCGCCUUCGCCACCGGUGUUCCUCCUGAUAUCUGCGCAUUUCACCGCUACACCAGGAAUUCCGAUCUCCCCUACCACACUCUAGCUAGCCCGUAUCGAAUGCAGACCCGAGGUUAAGCCUCGGGCUUUCACAUCCGACGUGACAAGCCGCCUACGAGCUCUUUACGCCCAAUAAUUCCGGACAACGCUUGCGCCCUACGUAUUACCGCGGCUGCUGGCACGUAGUUAGCCGGCGCUUCUUCUGCAGGUACCGUCACUUUCGCUUCUUCCCUGCUGAAAGAGGUUUACAACCCGAAGGCCGUCAUCCCUCACGCGGCGUCGCUGCAUCAGGCUUUCGCCCAUUGUGCAAUAUUCCCCACUGCUGCCUCCCGUAGGAGUCUGGGCCGUGUCUCAGUCCCAGUGUGGCCGGUCGCCCUCUCAGGCCGGCUACCCGUCGUCGCCUUGGUGGGCCAUUACCCCACCAACAAGCUGAUAGGCCGCGGGCUCAUCCUUCACCGCCGGAGCCUUCAAACCCCCGCCCAUGCGGGGCAGGAGUGGUAUUCCGGUAUUAGACCCCGUUUUCCAGGGGCUGGUUCCAAGAAGUGAAGGGGCAGAAUUGCCCCACCGUGUUUACCUCACCCCGUUUCGCCCACCUAAUUUCACCCCCCGAAAGGGGCCUUCAUUCCGUUCGACUUUGCAUUGUGUUUAAGCACCGCCCC